GGGAGAAGGGAGUGGAGACUCGACGUGGUAGGAAAUAAGACGUGGGCUGGAUCCGCGCCAGAUAUUUAUGUCGAUGCCACGCGAUGGCAAGUAUACUCGUGUCGGAGGAACGACCGUGACAUUGUGGAUGAUGUUACAGAUCGUUCUGCGCUGUUAAAACGGGACAAUUCUUCCGAGAGUCAAAGAACGAAGGAGAAAAGAAAGAAGAAGAGCAGUUGCACGAGACGUCUGUGCAGCAUCGAAAGGAUAAUGGAAUCGCGAUAAUCCGCAUUGGAAGAAGCGAUUGGCCAAAGGCCCUCUGGCCAGUGUCCAGCCUAUGCCACGAGUUCGUCGUGCAUAUUCUCCCCUCAGACAUAAUGCUUCUCCGGCCAAAAACGCGGCCAGACGUAUUUAUUUCGCGCGAAAGAGCCUGCGCUCGUCCAUAUCCGUUUACUCGGCCACGAGCCUUCCAAACCGUUUUGCAACACGCGAGGCCACGACAUUGCCAUCCUUAAAAAAGAUCCUCCAAAUCGCGUGACUGGUGACCAUCCUCCAUCCUCGUGCUCCAACAUUUCCCUAUGAUUUCUUUUUCCUUUUAUCGGUAAAGUAGAUUCCUAUUUAUCCUCUUUGCAAUUAUAUUACUGCAUUCUCAAUAAGAUAAAUUUGACGUUUUUUUUUCUUUUAGGGAUGAAAACGCACAGUUUUUGAAUUAUGUGAUUUCUUUUUUUAAUCAUUCUAACGGUCUAUUGUUAUUAAAAAAAAAAAUUUCGGGUAAAAUUACAUUCGAAAUAUAAAAAGAUAUCGAUAAAAUGAUAUUCGUGAAUCGAGAGGGAAUCGAUUCUAGAGCGACAAAGACAAAUAUUGGAGUAGAAAAAUAUCGGUUUGAUGAAGCAAGAUGGAGAUAGCUCGAAUCUUUAAUUAAUUCCCCCUUCCUCCAUGUUAGAUAUGUAGAUUAUAAAUCAUUUCCAUUUAUUGUAUGGUAAUAUAUUGUAUAUUAUUAAUUGCAAUGACUUUCUAAUAUUGUCGAGUCAUAAGUGAUAUACAUAUGUACACGUAUAUUCGUUAUUCAGUUUGAUUUCGAUAUUGCUUUGAGUUUUUUUACUUCAUCAUCAUUGAUUAAUUUAAUUAUUAUUAUUAUACUAUUCUUCUAUUUGUUGUUUCUUGUCAAAUAAAGAAUAUAUUAAAAGAAAAAAAUAAC